GUGACUCUACUUGUUAUCAAAACUUCCCAAUAUGUCGUGAAAUUGGCUAUGUUAUUCCUCUAGAACACAGUUGGAGAGAAAAGAACUCUCCAUGGGAUCCUUGUCAAAGCACGGAAAAUAAAACUGUCUCCGACUCCUCUUUCCUACUUCACCAUCCUAAACUCCUGAACCCAAACUAGGAACCGCAGGCACUGCCUUCUCUCCCGGACUCAUCUGUCGCUGGGGAGCCCCUUCUCCGCCCAGCCGCGUUUGGGUCCAGUGUCCGACUCGGAAGGCUUUCUUUCCUGGCUGCCGCUCCUCCCCGCCUUUCUUUCCCCGCUGCCACCUCUGGAGGAACCUGCGCGACGCCGGGUGCCAGGUACCGAGUGCCGAGCGCCGGGAGCCACGUCUCCGGAGGGCCCUGCGUGCAAGUGCGCGAGGUCCGUGCGGCUGCCCUGCGAGUGCGUCGGGAGAACUGCGCUUGCAGGUGUACGACAGUAAACUAAAUAAUUAGCAGAGGUCAAUAA